ACAGAUUAAUUGAAAUAGGUUGCAUGCACUUUUCUACGAUAAAAGAAUGCUGAGAUUUUGAACAAAGAAUCAAUCCACUUUUCUCUCCCACACUGUAUCGUUGUCAUUAUGCUCAUAUGAAUCAGUUCUUGCAGCAAUAAUGUGUAUAUUCAAACAGCUCAGUGAUUGCAGUGCUAUAAUACCAAACACAGUUGAAUGUACAGUGCCUUCAGAUAUGAUUCAUAGCCCUUAUUCCACAUUGUGUUGAAUUACAGCCUGAAUUCAAAAUGAAUUUAAAAAAUAAUCUCACUAAACUACACACAAUACAUCAUAAUGACAAAGUGAAAAUAUGUUUUUAGAAAUGUUUGCAAAUGUAUUGAACGUACAGAACUAUCAAAUUGACAUACAUCUUCACACCCCUGACUCAUUAGAUGUUAGAAUCACCUUUGGCAGGGAUUACAGCUGUGAGCAUUUCUGGGUAAACUGCCAAGAGCUUUGUACACCUGCAUUGUACAAUAUUUGACCAUUAUUCUUUUAACAAUUGUUGACCAUUGCUGGAGAGCAGUUUUCAAGUCUUGCCAUAGAUUUUCAAGCCCAUUUAAAUCAAAACUGUAACUAGGCCAUUCGGGAAAAUUCAUUGUCAUCUUGGUAAACAAUUACAAUUAUUAUCUCCUUUGUUUAGUUGACGUUGAGUGUGAGGUUAUGUUCCUGACACCACACUCCGAGGGCCCUCACCUCCUCCCUGUAGGCCGUCUCGUCGUUGUUGGUAAUCAAGCCUACCACUAGUGUUGUCUACAAACUUGAUGAUUGAGUUGGAGGCGUGCAUGGCCACACAGUCAUGGGUGAACAGGGAGUACAGGAGAGGGCUGAGAAUGCACCCUUGUGGGUCCCCAAUGUUGAGGAUCAGCGGGGUGGAGAUGUUGUUUCCUACCCUCACCACCUGGGGCGGCCCGACAGGAAGUCCAGGACCCAGUUGCACAGGGUGGGAUCGAGACCCAGGGGCUCGAGCUUAAUGACGAGUUUGGAGGGUGCUAUGGUGUUAAAUGCUGAGCUGUAGUUGAUGAACAGCAUUCUUACGUAGGUAUUCCUAUUGGGACGGUAAGCAAAUUGGAGUGGGUCUAGGGUGUCAGGUAGGGUGGAGGUGAUAUGGUCCUUGACUAGUCUCUCAAAGCACUUCAUGAUGACGGAAGUGAGUGCUACGGGGCGGUAGUCGUUUAGCUCAGUUACCUUAGCUUUCUUGGGAACAGGAACAAUGGUGGCCCUCUUGAAGCAUGUGGAAACAGCAAACCGGGAUAAGGAUUGAUGGAAUACGUCCGUUAACACACCAGCCAGUUGGUCUGCGAAUGCGUUGAGAACGCAGCUAGGGAUGCCGUCUGGGCCUGGCAGUGUACCAUAUCUGAUCUCAUAAAUUAUAAUAUUGGAGUAAAGUGUCCGUGUGGGUCAGUAUCCUACACUGGGUGUAAUAUUGGAGUAAAGUGUCCGUGUGGGUCAGUAUCCUACACUGGGUGUAAUAUUGGAGUAAAGUGUCCGUGUGGGUCAGUAUCCUACACUGGGUGUAAUAUUGGAGUAAAGUGUCCGUGUGGGUCAGUAUCCUACACUGGGUGUAAUAUUGGAGUAAAGUGUCCGUGUGGGUCAGUAUCCUACACUGGGUGUAAUAUUGGAGUAAAGUAUCCGUGUGGGUCAGUAUCCUACACUGGGUGUAAUAUUGGAGUAAAGUGUCCGUGUGGGUCAGUAUCCUACACUGGGUGUAAUAUUGGAGUAAAGUGUCCGUGUGGGUCAGUAUCCUACACUGGGUGUAAUAUUGGAGUAAAGUGUCCGUGUGGGUCAGUAUCCUACACUGGGUGUAAUAUUGGAGUAAAGUAUCCGUGUGGGUCAGUAUCCUACACUGGGUGUAAUAUUGGAGUAAAGUGUCCGUGUGGGUCAGUAUCCUACACUGGGUGUAAUAUUGGAGUAAAGUAUCCGUGUGGGUCAGUAUCCUACACUGGGUGUAAUAUUGGAGUAAAGUGUCCGUGUGGGUCAGUAGCCUACGCAGGAUGUAGUAUUAUCUUAUUUAGACAAACAAUUCUGAACUAAUAUACCAUUGGACAAUAGGUUCAGAUAUACGGUAAGGUGGUUAACGUGGGUGGUUGGAAACAGACACUAUGUGUAACUAAAGUUCACAGUCAACUGAGAGUUCAUGUUCCAGAAUACUGCACAGAUGUUCUAAAUGUAAAUGUGAAUAUUGGAUCCAACAGGAGUAUUGUGUCGCUAGUUGGGCAGAGUGUGCACUUUUGGGACUAUCCUAUUGGUUCCAUUGUACUGGGUAAGCUAAGUAAAAACACAACAAAUAAAAGAACAUUAACAGAGAGAGGUCAAAGACAAAACUGAUCCUAGAUCAGCACUCGUAUUACUCUGGGACUCUCUGUGAAUACAGGCUCUGGUCACAUGUCCAUGGAUGACACAACCCAUCUAGUGUCCACUCUGGUAUUGCUAGAAGUUUUAUGAUAAGGAAUAUUUUCUAUUAACUAAAGUAUUUUUACUGUGCUAUGUCAGUUAUAUUUAGAAGGAAAACACUGGAGUUACUAUUUUUAUAUUAUAACACUUAGUAAUACAGUAUACUUGACAAGCAGAUGACAUACCUGGACCACAGUAUAUAGAUGUAUUUAAUCAGUAGAAUGAACAAAUGGAACAGAAUGGAAGCAAACAUAGAACACUGCUGCAUUUCAAAUGGAUUGAUAACUGUAAAAACUUCAAUGAAAACAGUAUCUUGUUAAAUUGGUAUAUGUCCACCAUAUAGGUAAACAUGUAAACCACAGUUAGAGCCUACGAGACCCCAGUUCCACUCCCCUGGGCCUGAUGAAUGGUCGACUCCACAUAGCUCUGGUCUCUUUAAAGACAGGAAUACAUCUUUCAAUGUAGUUAGUUCCACAUAGAAACAAAAACAGCUUAAGAAUAACAGUGAAAACCAGAACAACUCCAUAAGAUAUGGGGUUACAGUAGCUACUAUAAUUAGACUACGGUGUGAAUGGUUUUUCACACACCCAGUGUUUUGGAGAACACGGUCCAUCCUUCCAACUCUUCAAUGAGUCUGAUGCCGUCUGUGAGAUCUCAACACAGGCCACCUUGUCAUUCAAGUUAUUAGGUUCCCCUUCCAUCCAAUA